UGGGCUUGCUUGUUGGGAGUGCUGAAUAUGAAAAUUAUCAUUUGCCCCUCCUCAUUUCAAGUAUAAUAUCAUUCCAAAUAUUUAUUGACCAUGUUCCUGCCAGUCUCAGCAAGAGAAUGGGAAACCUCAGCGUCGGUGUGACCUGUUACCUGGUAGCCUCUCAUCUUCCCCCAAAGUCCCCAUACUUCCCCAAAAAGGAAUAGUUCUACCAUGGAUGACACUCAUCUGUUUUUGCAUGCAAUCCAUCAGUCUCCAUAACUAUAGAAAGCAUGCUACAUCUCCAUCUUUGUCUUUACUGCAUACCUUGGUUAAAUAGGUCUCUAGCUGCCUAGUAACCACUAAUGAUACCAGCCUGAGAGCUCAGAUUAUACUGAUUGAUUUUCUUUCUAGGCCUUUAAAUGAGUUAUCUUUCUCUAUUGUUUUGUAUUCUUGUGGCCUCAGUGAACAGAGACUUAGAAAGCUUUGGGGUAUGGUUUGUGGCAAAUGAGGGGUUUUUUUCCUACUCCAGGUUACUUUCCCUUCUUGUUAAAAUGUGUUAGGAAUGAAACGUUAGAGGCUAACAACAUGUAUUGUAAGAGACAUAUUUAUUACAUUCACUGUCUGGAUUAAGUUAGAAUGUAUUAUCUUAGCUGUUAGAACAGUUAAUUCUGAAUCACAUUCUCGUGUUCACAUGUGGAUAAUAGCAGGUUUACUGAAUAGAAUCCUUGUGUAUAAAAAAAAAUCAAUCUACUGCAUGUUACUUUGAUUUGCAAUUCAGUAAACAGUCUCUUCCUUCUUAGAAGAAAGAAACUUAUUCUGAUCACUAAACACUUAGCUCUGCCCUUAUCUUGUAACUUCUCCAGAUGUGUUCUUUGAUAAAGGUGAAUGCUUUAGCCAAUGCCUUCCUGCCUAUUCAGCCCUUAUGAAAGCAUAGGGAUUAAAAAUACCAGAACUUUUGAGUGGCUGACUCAGAAGGAGGUAGCUAGCAACCUUGAACGCAGGAAACAGCUAUGUUCUAUACCUGAAUAGACUGUACUAAUUACUUUGGGAGCAAACCUCUUUGGCAAGGGGAUGGUGGGGAAGCAGGGGGAAACUUUCUGGUUACAUUUGACUUAUAGAGAAGUUACCAAAUUUGCUUUGGCAUUCUUGUCAGCCAUACAGUAAAGCAGCUGAUUCAGGCCUUACUAACUUUACUUGGUCUAAUUGCCUUGAUUUUUCAGUUAGCAAGUAGAGUUCAAUAGUAAAAUUUCAUAGGAGAAUAUUCACCCUGGAGGGCAGCAAAUUGUAAGCAUAGGAUUUCAUACUUUAUCAUUGCAGGUUUUACUAUAAUUAAAAAGGUGAAAUUACAGAAAUUAGAAGGUACAUCACCUUCCAGGACAGUUAAAUUGAGCAUUCAGUGCAUUUCCUAAUCCCAGGUAGUAUUUUGGAUAAUUGAAACAUUGUGCAAGGGUAAGGUAUUUUAUUUAUUUAUUUUACAAAUCAAAGAUCAGUUUAAUGAUGUGCAUAGUCUAAGCAUAAUGUUAGAAUACUGGGAAUAAAAGAAAAUAUUAUAUUAAAUAGCUCAUCCCUUCAAAAAGUCUAAUGCCUCUAUUUUCACUGUUCCAGUCUCGUGAUUUAACUAAGGAAAUUUAACCUUUCUUCUCAAUAAAACAAACUUCACCAUCCUGACCAUCUUUAUCACCAUUUUAACUGACAUGCUCUUUCCUAUAUUCUAGUAUAGGAAGCCUUAUUUCCAUCCAAGACUAUGACACAGAGAAAUACCAAAAAGGUGUCACAGGAGGAGCUGGCCAUCUCCCUAGCCCCAUCAUCCCCAGCAUGCUCAGCACUUUGCCUGGACAGUGGUGGCAAGCCUGAACCACUCAGGAGAAUGGAGAAAUAGGACUUUCAGAAGGAA